AGUGAACGCUGGCGGUAGGCCUAACACAUGCAAGUCGAACGGCAGCACAGUAAGAGCUUGCUCUUACGGGUGGCGAGUGGCGGACGGGUGAGGAAUACAUCGGAAUCUACUUUUUCGUGGGGGAUAACGUAGGGAAACUUACGCUAAUACCGCAUACGACCUACGGGUGAAAGCAGGGGAUCUUCGGACCUUGCGCGAUUGAAUGAGCCGAGGUCGGAUUAGCUAGUUGGCGGGGUAAAGGCCCACCAGGGCGAGGAUCCGUAGCUGGUCUGGGAGGAGGAUCAGCCACGCUGGAACUGAGACACGGUCCAGACCCCAACGGGGGGCAGGAGUGGGGAAUGUUGGACAAGGGGGGCAAGCCUGAUCAAGCCAUACCGCGUGGGUGAAGAAGGCCUUCGGGUUGUAAAGCCCUUUUGUUGGGAAAGAAAAGCAGCAGGUUAAGACCCCGCUGUUCUGACGGUACCCAAAGAAUAAGCACCGGCUACCUUCGU
rnacentral:rRNA from 1 species